AACGAACGCUGGCGGCAUGCCUAACACAUGCAAGUCGAACGAGAUCUUCGGGUCUAGUGGCGCACGGGUGCGUAACGCGUGGGAAUCUGCCCUUUGGUUCGGAAUAACAGUUGGAAACGACUGCUAAUACCGGAUGAUGACGAAAGUUCAAAGAUUUAUCGCCAGAGGAUGAGCCCGCGUAGGAUUAGCUAGUUGGUGUGGUAAAGGCGCACCAAGGCGAAGAGCCUUAGCUGGUCUGAGAGGAUGAUCAGCAACACUGGGACUGAGACACGGCCCAGACUCCUACGGGAGGCAGCAGUGGGGAAUAUUGGACAAUGGGCAAAAGCCUGACCCAGCAAUGCCGCGUGAGUGAUGAAGGCCUUAGGGUUGUAAAGCUCUUUUACCCGGGAUGAUAAUGACAGUACCGGGAGAAUAAGCCCCGGCUAACUCCGUGCCAGCCGCCGCCGUAA
rnacentral:rRNA from 1 species